GGGGCUGGCGCGUGCCCGAGUGCGCCCAGGCAGUACGGGCAGUUUGCCGUGGUGAGAGCCCCGGCGCCACGUGGUCAGUGUGCUUGACAAAGGAAACUUUUUUGUUCCUCCAGUGUGCCUAAGAAAAGCCUGCGGGACGAGCGCCCGCUGCCUGUCUCCUGGCCUCCCUGCUUUUCCAUCGCUUUCCGAGUGACCCGUCUUCGUCGAGCCGUGCAGGUGCACCGGGCUGGCGCAGUAGGCACAGGCCGCCGGGUGGCCACGGGACGAGCAGGGGAGACCGGACCAGGGUCAGGCGUAAAGCGCUCAGGGUGCACCAAUUGCCGCCCCCGCGCCAGGGCCGGGAGCGUACAGGCAGUGCCACGGGGAGGAGUUGGGCACCGCAGGUGGGGCGCACCUGCGCGCAGUUUUGCCGCUGCACCGGAGGAGGGCUCGCCGAGCCCGCCGCGUGGCCUGGGCUUUCUCGGAUGCUAGCACUGAAAGGGCAAGACUGACUUUGGAAUCUCAGAAAUCACAGGAAUUCCGGACAGCUCGGAUGCUUGUAGCCUGAAGUGCGGUCGGGCUGAGGGGCAGCAUGUGCACGGCCGGGCCGGGGUCUGUCAUUGUGAACCGCCCACCUGACAGCCUGGCAGACUGCAGUAUGACGGGAACACGAGCGUCAGGGAGAGUCUUCCUGAGCUGUCACGGUCUGUCACCAAGUCGUGUGGUGUCCACAGCCUGAAGAGAAUCCUCUGGGCAUAGCCACGUGAGCCACGUGAGACUCAAAGCUGGGACUGUGCUCUGUCUGCAUCAUACCUAGCAAAGAGACCAGGCUUUCGGUCACACUCCAACACCAGAUGAACAAAGAAAAAUUAAGACCUGCAUCGUCUGUGGGGACACGGCCCAAAUCAGCUGUCUGUGCCGAGGGAGAGCUCACUUUUGCUCUGCAUGAAUUGUAUCUGGGAUGUCAUUACCUGUGCUACCGCUCACUCUUCACUCCAUCAUAAUUAUUCAUCCAAUUGUUGAAACUGGUAAAGACCCAAGCUCUGGAGUCAGAUUGCUGAGGUUCAGAUCUCAUGUUUUGGCAGUGUGAGCUCAGGUAAGUUUCUCAUGUUUCCUUCCUUCCAUUUUUCUGUAAGUGCUGUUUUAUUACACAUGCUCCGUGUCUCACGUGAGGAUUAACUGAGAUGACACAAGUGCUCAUCACAGUCCAUCGCGAAGAGUAAAUGCUCCACCACUACGGGCUACUUUUUAUUAUUAUUAUUAUUACUAUUAGCUACCUAUUUUUUUUUUUUAAAGUCGGCCAUGAGUGGGGAGAGCUUAUGUCCUUGACUCAGUGCCUGGCACUUACAGUGAGUUCUCAAUAAAUGUUUGUUGGCUGGAUGAAUGGUUGAGAGGCAUGAAUGACUGAGCAGAGACAGGCUCAUGUCAUCAGUGUUCUAUAUCCCAUCUUGUUCCUGUUCUUUGUAUUGGAAAGACACUUGUAACAUUAGGAAAGGCGUAUACAGAAAGAUUUUCAUACCGUAUGCUCUUUCUCAUCUUUGCUACGCAGACAUGUCUCUUGUCUACGAUGUGAUGGCCUAAUGAUUAUUUUGCCACUGUCACCAAAAUAUUUUCCUUAGACCAAAUAAAUAACUACCUAAAUUUAUGCUUAAGAAAAUAGACUAAGUAAUGAGUUAUAGGGCUGAAGCUACUGAGUCUAGGCUCAGGAUCUGUUUUCUAAUGAAGCAAAUUGCUUCAGAUAUAGCUACUCAUGAAAGAAAGUCAUUUCAGCUCAUGGUGUUGGAGGUUCACAGGACAAGAACAGGUGGCUUCAUUGGCCUGGCUUCUCAUGAGGCUGGAGGCUGGCAAUGGCAGAGUGUGAGUGGAGAAAUGACCGUGAGAUGAGCCAGGAUGCAGAGACACAGAACCAGUCUUUUCUAAGCGACUCUCCCAAGAAAUACACUCUGAGGGUAUGUCUCAGUGACCUAAUGGGUUCCCACCGGGCCCAUCUUCCAGACACCACAACUGAAUCAUCUCCACCUUACUCCACCAAUCAUUAACAUAAGACUUUGGAAGCCAGGCCUUCUAUGCAGAGGCCUGUGGGAGGACAUUUAAGCUAACAUCUGAACUAUAGCAAUAUUUUAAAAGUUUGGUAAAAUUCAGCAGUGAAACCAUCAAUCCUCAGAUUUUCCUUGCUGGGAGACUUUUUAUUACCAGUCCAAACUCAUUAUUCAUUAUUGGUCAACUCAAGUUUUCAUGCUUCAAUUUUGGUAAGUUAAAUAUGUCUGAAAUUUAUCCAUUUCUCCUAGGUUUUGAAAUUUGUUGGCAUAGGAGUAUAGUUUUCAUAAUGGCUCCUAAUGAUCCUUUAUAUUUCUGUAUCAGUUAUAAUUCCAUUUUCCUUAUAUUUCUGUAUCAGUUAUAACUCCAAUGGAAGUUAUAACUUCCAUUUUCAUCUCUGAAUUUAAGUUGUCUUUUUUUCUUGGUUAGCCUAACUAAAGCUUUCUUUGUUUAUAUUUUU